rnacentral:sRNA from 1 species
UAACAGUUCAUCAAAAUCCAUGUGGUGGU